AACGAACGCUGGCGGCAUGCCUAACACAUGCAAGUCGAACGAGACCUUCGGGUCUAGUGGCGCACGGGUGCGUAACGCGUGGGAACCUGCCCUUAGGUUCGGAGUAACUCCCCGAAAGGGGUGCUAAUACCGGAUAAUGUCUUCGGACCAAAGAUUUAUCGCCUUUGGAUGGGCCCGCGUUGGAUUAGCUAGUUGGUAGGGCAAAAGCCUACCAAGGCGACGAUCCAUAGCUGGUCUGAGAGGAUGAUCAGCCACACUGGGACUGAGACACGGCCCAGACUCCUACGGGAGGCAGCAGUGGGGAAUAUUGGACAAUGGGCGAAAGCCUGAUCCAGCAAUGCCGCGUGAGUGAUGAAGGCCUUAGGGUUGUAAAGCUCUUUUACCCGGGAUGAUAAUGACAGUACCGGGAGAAUAAGCUCCGGCUAACUCCGUG
rnacentral:rRNA from 1 species